UCCUCGGCGCCGUCCCGCCCUCUUUUUCUCACAACACUUCGGCUUCGCUCUUUCCUCCUCAAAGGAGAAACUUUAUGACAUCGCUAAGCUACAGGAACGGCCUCCCAGGAGCUACGCGCCUGCGCAGAGCUCUGAGCAGCGGCGAACAAGAUGGGGUUAAGGCACCAGGACUACAGAUCCCAUAAAGGCAAUACGCCAGAAAGGAGAUAGGAAAACUGGCAGGGCUGCCGAGAAGCAUCAUGGGAGCCCUCUUUCAGCACAUUAUCACUAUAGAGUCCAACCCAGGACAUCACUGGAACAGGGAGUCAUGUGACCAAGGAGAACCAAUCAUCUCUACAUACCAAGGUAUAAACCUAAGGCCUGGGUCUGAUCUUCAGUUGGAACAACAGAUCAGCUGAGGAAAUCACUGGGGUCAAGGGAGGACCAGCUGCAGAUUCAGCCUCCCACACACCUUGAUCACAUAGUACAGAACUACAAGAAAAGCAUAGGUCAGCUUUGUCCAAUAUGACCCUCUCAAGAUAAGUUGUGCCUUAACUCCCAGAAUUCUCGGCCAGUGUAGUCAACUUAUCUAGAGAGCAUCUGGGUAGGGAAAGUGAGCUUAUUGGACCUGCAAAUAUCUAGCUAUCUAGACAUAAAAGGAGCACAAAUAAACUACCAAGACAUGUUCCCAUGUGAAGGCCUAUAAAAUGAAUGGAUACUGCCCAAGAGCACUUUUGGCCAAGAAAAAAAAACUUUUUUUUUUCAGCAAGCCUCCAUUAUUUCUUUCCUCCUUACCGCCUAAAAUAUUAAAGACAUAUUCUUCAUCAUGGUAUUUUAUCAUGCUGAAUGUAUAAUCUAGCUCAAUUUUUUAUUCAAGUUGAAAAUCAUUUGAUACCACAGCAUGCUCUGUCUAAUCUGCUAGACCCUUCUUUCUCUCCCAAUCCUUUCUUCAGAAUUCAUUAGAUUAAAAAAAGAACCUUCACAUGGAACUUAUUGUAUAACAAAGAGACAAAACCACCAAUACUAAGCAUUUAAAAUAUUUCUUUGCAGGUAAAUGUAUAUAGAUCAUUGUUCACCAAGCUAAUUCUCUCUAAAUAUUUGAGAAUGCAUUUCUCAUCCUCUACUGUCAACAUGGGUGUAAGCCAAAACAGCUCGAGAUAGCCAUGUGGGUAUAGAUGAUGAUAGCCUGAAGAAUGCACAAAACUCUCAAACAGGAAUUAAUAGGACUUAAAAGUGCUUUGUUUGCUAAUAUUCCUUUGAACCUCAAGGAUCAUAGAAAUGGUGUUCUUACUUGCAUGUAAAAACUGUAUGCUGAAGCAUCAUGUUUUAUUGCUUUUAUCUCAAAGAAGAAUCCAUAAAUGGAAAUUACUUCUGCAUGAUAUCUUGGUUCCUGGAAUAAUCAGCAUGUUUAUAUAUUUAUAUAAAGGUAUGCUAUUCCAGUGUCUUAAAAUAUCAGUAAAGGAUCAGUUAUGGGGAAUAAAUAAUUCAUAAAUACCUCA